UACUAGAAUAUUAAAAGUUAUGGCCUUUAAAUUUAAAAAAUUUGGCGGUGUUUUAGUCUAGUUAGAGGAACCUGUUUUAUAAACGAUACAACACGCAUUAUUUUACUUAUUUUAGUGGAGCAGUUUGUAUACCGUCAUUAUAAGAUAAUUUAGGAGAAAAUAUUAUUGGAAUCGUAUUUGUGAAUAUAUUAGAUCAAGGUGCAGCUUAUAGAUAAGUAAAUAUGGGUUACAAUAAAAUUAAUUUAAUAUGAAUUAAGUAUUUAAAUAUAUUUAUGAAGGAGGAUUUAAUUGUAAGGGAAGGAGUAGUGAGAUUUUCUGAUAAAAGCUCUAAAUUAUGUACAUAUCGCCCGUCGCUC
rnacentral:rRNA from 1 species